UACAGAGGGUGCAAGCGUUAAUCGGAAUUACUGGGCGUAAAGCGUGCGCAGGCGGUGAUGUAAGACAGAUGUGAAAUCCCCGGGCUCAACCUGGGAACUGCAUUUGUGACUGCAUCGCUGGAGUGCGGCAGAGGGGGAUGGAAUUCCGCGUGUAGCAGUGAAAUGCGUAGAUAUGCGGAGGAACACCGAUGGCGAAGGCAAUCCCCUGGGCCUGCACUGACGCUCAGUGCAC
rnacentral:rRNA from 1 species